UCUGGCCCUGCGCGCCCUGUCCAGGCCGUUCUCCGCUGGGCGGCUGGAAGUCGGCCGGUCCCUGGUUUGUCAGUCCUUUCACUUAGUCACAGUGAUGUCUCUGUGCUGGGAACAGCGGUUUGCGGGACAGAUGAUCCCUGCCCCUCCAGGAGGUCACAGGCGGAGUCCCAGUUUAUUCUACGGAGACCUUGUGUGUCCGCAGUCUCCAGGGCCACAGUCUUGCGCGCGUGGCUGUGUGUGUGCGUGCGUGUGAGUGAUGGGGAGCGGUGGUCUUUGCUGCAUGCGGGCAGCGCUUGCCGCAGCGCGUCGCCAUCCAGGGGCCUUCCCGCACCCAGCUCUUGGGGUGGGCGAGAUUGCCCGGAGGUGCCCAGGGGAGAGGCCGGGAGCACACGGAGCCCAGAGGCAGACCCCAAAGCUUCAGCUUCAGUCCAGCGGGCCACCUCUCUGCAGCGCUGAAAAUGUCAGCUCCUCGGGGAAGCCCACCCCAUCAGGUCCUCUGGGGGUGCCAUCCCUUAGAACCCUGGGGGGGAAGUCUCUCUCUGCCACUGUUGAUCGGCUCAGGGCGCACCUCGUAGGUGCCAGGUAUAUGAGAGAUGUGGACUAAAUACUGGCUGAAUGAAUGAAUGAAUGAACUUAGCCCUGACAGGGCAGGAAUAGGGCAGGGCCAGGGCUGAGCCUGUAGGCCCUGCUGUCCCUGAGCAGAAGGGCUGCCCAACUCCCACUCUGAGGAGACUCUGGUCACGGGGCUGCGCUGGGAGCGGAGCUCUGUCGGGCGCUCGAGGCGGCAUGCUGGUUGGGCCAAGUCUCAGAUCUCUCCAGAGAGGUCCUGCCCUUGGUCUCUGGCAGGUGUGAUCUGGUUAAGGGGGGCCCUGCACAUGCUGGCCUGGACAUUGGCCCGCAUGCCUGUGGGACCAGGCGUGCUCAGGCAGGAGGUCCUGUGGCCCAGCUGGGCAGAUGCUCUGUAAAACGCGGGUCCCAGGCCCCUCCGUCCCUGCUCUCACCCCAGCAGGCUUCCUGUGCCCAGGGCUCUGUUAACCACGGAUGCCCUCCGCGCCGGUCUCCAGCUCGGGUGCUCCCCUGAGCCCCAGAAGGCAAGCCCGCGCAGCCUGUUCCCUAUGUUCAAAUCCAGGUUCUUGCCUUUCGCCUGCCCCUGAUCGCCUGCCAGUGAAAUGGACCUUCCUCCACUGUGCUGGGGUCCUCACCCCUCCCACCCACCCCUGCUAGUCUCAGUGAGCUGCCUGGGGCGGUGGAUCCAUACAGUCAUGUGACCUGCCCAGUGGUACGUGAAGAGAAGUGACCCAAGUGACUCCAAGCAGAAGAUUCAGGAGCCAGCGCCUGCUUGACGGUUCUCUGGUAGUGGAAGUGGGUGACACGGGGAAGCCCGCACCCCGGCAGACACACCCGGCGUCGAUGAUGGGCUCCAUGCAGUGGGGCAACUUCUGGGCCACAUGACUUCUGGCACAUGACUCAGUAGCAGGCAGAGGGCCUCCGAAGACCACCUUGCCCUAAUCUCUGGAACCUGUGAAUAUGUUACAUUGUGUGGCAAAAGGGACUUCUCAGAUGUAAUUAGGGUUACAGACUUUACAGUAGGAACUUUACACAUCGUGGAUUAUCUGGGUGGGGCCGACGUAAUCACAUGAGCCCUUAAAAGCAGAGAAUUUUCUCCAGCUCAAGUCACAGAUGAGAUGGAAGGGGCAGUCAGAAAGCCUCAAAGCAGAAGGACUCAGAAAUGCUGUUGAGUGGCUUUGAAGAUGAAGGGGCCUCAGUCAUCCGGAGCUGAAUUCUGCCAACAGUGAAUUCUGCCAGCAUCCUGAAUGACCUCAGAAGUGGGCUCCUCCCUAGUCGGUCCUGAGAUGCCUUGACUUGCCUGAAGCAGAACGCCAGUCACUUUGCAUUCAACAGAUGACUUGCAGAAACUGUGAGAUAAUAAAUGUGUGUUGUUUCAAGCUG